rnacentral:rRNA from 1 species
UACGUAGGUCCCGAGCGUUGUCCGGAUUUAUUGGGCGUAAAGCGAGCGCAGGUGGUUUAUUAAGUCUGGUGUAAAAGGCAGUGGCUCAACCAUUGUAUGCAUUGGAAACUGGUAGACUUGAGUGCAGGAGAGGAGAGUGGAAUUCCAAGUGUAGCGGUGAAAUGCGUAGAUAUAUGGAGGAACACCGGUGGCGAAAGCGGCUCUCUGGCCUGUAACUGACACUGAGGCUCGAAAGCGUGGGGAGCAAACAGG